UACGUAGGGGGCUAGCGUUGUCCGGAAUCAUUGGGCGUAAAGCGCGUGUAGGCGGUUCGGUAAGUCCGCUGUGAAAGUCGGGGGCUCAACCCUCGAAAGCCGGUGGAUACUGUCGAACUAGAGUGCGGAAGAGGCGAGUGGAAUUCCUGGUGUAGCGGUGAGAUGCGCAGAUAUCAGGAGGAACACCGGUGGCGAAGGCGGGUCUCUGGGCCGAUACUGACGCUGAGGAGCGAAAGCGUGGGGAGCGAAUAGG
rnacentral:rRNA from 1 species